rnacentral:rRNA from 1 species
UACUAGAGUAGCACUCGCAUAUCAAUAAGCGGAGGAAAAGAAACUAACAAGGAUUCCCCUAGUAACGGCGAGUGAAGCGGGAAGAGCUCAAAUUUGAAAUCUUCAAGGGUUUCCCUUGACGAAUUGUAGUUUAUAGAAGUGUUUUCUGUUAGAGAGGUGGUAAAAGUUCUUUGGAAUAGGACAUCAUAGAGGGUGAGAAUCCCGUAUUUGAUCACUUUCUACUAACGUUGUGAUACACUUUCAACGAGUCGGAUUGUUUGGGAAUGCAGUCCAAAAUGGGUGGUAAAUUUCAUCUAAAGCUAAAUAUUGGCGAGAGACCGAUAGCGAACAAGUACCGUGAGGGAAAGAUGAAAAGAACUUUGAAAAGAGAGUUAAACAGUACGUGAAAUUGUCAAAAGGGAAGCGUUUGACACCAGUGUUGUUUUUUCCGAAAAUCAAUUACGAAUGUUUCGUUUUUGAGAAGUUAUGACUUCAUCGGCUUGCUUCUCUCUUUACGAAACUUUCUUAAUGCACUUUUCGGUUAACAAGUCAACAUCAAUUUCUUUUGUUGUAAAAGGGUAUGAGGAAGGUGGCUUUCUUUUCGGAGAAAGUGUUUAUAGCCUUGUAGCCUCUGCAAUCGGAGAGAUUGAGGUCUGCAGCGUAGAUCCUUCGGGGUUAGAUACAUUUGUGCUAAGUUAUAGCUUUUCAUAGACAACUUGUUGACUAUGUUAAGUCUUGUAGCUUACUCGCUUAUGCUAUUUUACCUACGCUUAGGAUGUUGAAGAUGUAGCACAUCAU